rnacentral:rRNA from 1 species
ACUCCUACGGGAGGCAGUAGUGGGGAAUUUUGGACAAUGGGCGAGAGCCUGAUCCAGCCAUGCCGCGUGCAGGAUGAAGGCCUUCGGGUUGUAAACUGCUUUUGUACGGAACGAAAAGGUUCGGCCUAAUAAGCUGAGCUCAUGACGGUACCGUAAGAAUAAGCACCGGCUAACUACGUGCCAGCAGCCGCGGUAAU